rnacentral:rRNA from 1 species
UGUCUGGGAAACUGCCUGAUGGAGGGGGAUAACUACUGGAAACGGUAGCUAAUACCGCAUAACGUCGCAAGACCAAAGAGGGGGACCUUCGGGCCUCUUGCCAUCGGAUGUGCCCAGAUGGGAUUAGCUAGUAGGUGGGGUAAAGGCUCACCUAGGCGACGAUCCCUAGCUGGUCUGAGAGGAUGACCAGCCACACUGGAACUGAGACACGGUCCAGACUCCUACGGGAGGCAGCAGUGGGGAAUAUUGCACAAUGGGCGCAAGCCUGAUGCAGCCAUGCCGCGUGUAUGAAGAAGGCCUUCGGGUUGUAAAGUACUUUCAGCGGGGAGGAAGGGAGUAAAGUUAAUACCUUUGCUCAUUGACGUUACCCGCAGAAGAAGCACCGGCUAACUCCGUGCCAGCAGCCGCGGUAAUACGGAGGGUGCAAGCGUUAAUCGGAAUUACUGGGCGUAAAGCGCACGCAGGCGGUUUGUUAAGUCAGAUGUGAA